UUUCGAUAAAAUAACUAUUCCACAAACAAAUGAAAGAGUUCUCUUGUACUGAAAUGCGUACGGCUAAUAUACCGCUGGAAUUAUUUAUUCAUUCUGUGUACCAAGCAAGGAUUUGAACUAUGAAAACUGAUGUGUAAUAUUUGCAACAAGUGAUCAUAUUGACUAUGAAAUAACAAAUUAGAAGAUACAAAGUUACAAAUGAAAGAAACGUUUUCGCAUUUAUCGUCGUGUCUCUCUUCAAAGAACUGAGCUUAGAAACCAUGUAUUGUUCAUGAAAAAUGGCUGGUGAAAAUACAAUUUUUGACCUCCCAGCGGCCUAUUUCUUUUUAGGAUUGCUAUUUGUUCUUUCAAGUAUUUUGUUUUCAUGCUGUGCCAUUAAGUAAGAACGCUCUUUAUUUGAUAAUUUUAUGUUACUAUCCCU